rnacentral:lncRNA from 1 species
GAAAUUCUAGUUGAUAUAGUUGUACAGGAUGUUUGCUUUUGCCCGCUGGACAUGCAUUAUAAUAGUGGCAAAAUGAAGCAACUCAUAAAUGUUUGAGUAAGAGAUUACCUUUUCAUUUGAUGAUCUAGGCACAUGAUUAUAUCUGAGGAUUGACAGACUGAUACAUGUCUACUGAAAACCAAAGAGUCCACUAAUUUAAUAAUUUAGUGAAAGAUAUUCUUUGUAUAGGUAUAUGUUGAUAUACAUAAGGAGGCAAAACUGGGUAAUCCAUGAGCACAUACAUGGCACUCGAUCCCUUUGCAAAGUUUGCAUCUCCAUUGUUGUGUUGGUGCUUACUAAGAUUGGAUUAACUCAUAAAGAAUUACUGCUGAAUGCACUGACAAUUGCUUUGCAAUUUUUGAGAUUUUGCUACACAAUAGUAGGAGUAGGGACAGAGAGAGUAAACCGGAAGCCUAUGAAAUAUAUUUUUCGAAUUAUUAAAAUUCUACAACACUUUGACCAGUAAGUUUCUUCCAAGUUGUUAGUGAUGAAGAGUCAAUAUUUCUAAUAUUUAGGAGACAGAGAUUUGAAUCUAUGAAACUAUCUUCUAGAUGUGUUGUCAGAUAUAAUUACGUAGUGUAGUGCCACCUUCUCCUUUCAAUUUGACAAACAUAUAUGUUUUAUUAGAUGCUUAUUUAGCUUCCUUUCUGGCGCUAUACUUGAAGAAAUUAUCUUCUCUCACACAUUAUGUCACUGAAUGCAUUGAAGGUGAUAGUUAGUGACCACGGCAUGACUGAGAGUGGUAACCAUGGUGGUUCUUCAUUUGAAGAAACUGAUUCAUUGGCUGUUUUUGUUGAUCUGGGUGAUCACACACUUGACCAUGCAUCAACUACAGGCAAUUCAGCAAACCAGGUACUCUAUCAAUUUCCACAAUUUAAUUGUUAUGGGGAGUAGAACCGGCUUGCUUGAGGGACAAACAAUCGCAAUGAAGCCAGAACUGGAUAGGAAUUUCUUGCAAACAGUAAUCACAAAAAAGCAGAUUUCUUCACGCAUCACAAAGAGGCUUCUUAAGCAUCAAACUGAAGAAGAUAUCUGCAUCAAAUACUUCAAAAGAAAACUCUAGCUAAAAUUUCAUUAAACUUCGUCAACGCACAUGCGCAUAUUGUAUAUGUACUGUAUAGUUAUAGUCCAAAGGGAAGCGAAGAUCCUUGGAAUCUUACUCUAAGUAGGAAUUGGAAACUCAUUAAGAAUCCUAUUUGAUGUCUAAUCUCUCAUUACGAUAAGCAAACCUGACAGGAACUUUCAACCUCAAAACUUUCGCCUGAAUAUUCCACAAUAUACCCAUGCUAGCUGGAAGAAUAAAUAAUGAUUAUGUAUUACCAAACAAAGGGCAAGAUUGUAAUUUAAGAUGCAAAUGGAAUUAUCAUAUUUAUUUGAUAAAUCUAUCUUAUUGAGAUUCUAUAUAUAAAUAAAUUUCCUUAUCUGUCAAUAGUUUGAAUCUCUUUCAUAAAAUAACUCAGAUCAUAUUGUUCCUUUCCUCUAUUAAAACAUAUUCCAUAUUUUGCACACACAUAUGAAUGCCAUUAUUGCUGUUGCUAUUAUAUAAGACUAACAGUCAAUAUUAGGAAAUUAGAUAAAUGUAAGCUGGACGUGGAGAAUGGAAUUUCGUGACAUUGUUUCGUGAUUAAAUACAUCCUUGAGGUGGUUAAUUUCCUCAUUAUGUAAUUCUUACAGGUAUGUGGAGUACUUCUUUAAAAUUAACUUAUAACAAAAUAAAUGCAAGAAGCAAAUUUUGAAAUCUCUCGCUAAAUUUCUCCAAUGAAAAGCGACAUGGUGCAAACAAGAAAGGCAUAAUCUUCUGAAUGAUGACUUGUCAAACAGGCAGUUGAUUACUUUUAUAAAUUUCUAGUACAAGAAAAAAUACUGGACCCUGAAAUAAAAAUUUGCGAAUUCAGAAAAUCAAGUAAGAGCCAAGGGUAAAGAGAUUUCAGUUUCUAAAUAUUCUCACCAAUAUUGGUUUUAGUUACAAUGCCGUGUUUUUUACAAUUUUAAUAAUUAUGACCAACUAAUAGUCCAAUAACCUUCCAUUCUUCACUUAUUCUUUGUGAUGCAGAUUGACAUUGCAGGCACUGUAGCUCUCCUCUUCAAUGUACCGAUACCAAAAAACAAUAUUGGAGUUGUCAUCCCACAUGCUCUUAACUUUAUGACAGGUCCUCUCUCUCUCUCUCUCUCUCUCUCUCUCUCUCUCUCUCUCUCUCUCUGUGUGUGUGUGGACAUGCAUGGUUCACCAAGUCAACAAUUUUCAAAUAUCAACUGCUGGACGAUGAUGUCAAGCAUUUCUCCUCAUAUCGGCUGUGUCCAAUGGGAGUUUCCUUGGUGCAAAUAGAUCAAGUCUUUCAAAUCCAAGAAGGAUUUUUUCAGCUCACCCAUCAAAUAAUAGAUUUCAUGGUGUUUCGUCAUGGUUAUCUCUCUUGGAUUCAUUCAUUGUAGUUUGAGAUCUAUAAUAGGGAAGUUUUGUUGACCAGAGUAUUGCUUCCAGUAAUCUCCAAUGGUUGUAGCGUUUUUCUUGGCAGUUAGUGGGGUUAAUGGGAAAGCCACAUCAGUUUUAUUCUGUGCUCUUUGUUGUCUUUUGAACAUGCUGUUUUUCAUCAAUUAUGAGAAGAAUAAGGUAUAAUUAUCACGUUUAUUUCUGUUGACAUAAUUUGUGCAAGUGGAAAUAAAAAAAGAAUAGUAUUUUGGUCGCAAUUACUUAUUUGGUGCAUGUGCAUAUGGAUUUUCGAGAAAUUACCAUGACACAUCUGUAUAGGAUGAAGAUCCUCUUUGGUUCUGUUCCUUCUUUUGUUGUUGUAUAAUUACGAAAUAUCCGGAAAUAUAACGAGUAUUAUGCAUAGUUCUUUCUUCUUCUUCUUCUUUUUUUUUUUUUUUGAAAAUUUUUAACGUGAAGUUCUUAUACAUAACAAUGUCUAUCUGUUACAUUAGUUUAGUUGUUUGAUCUAAUUUUAAAUUGUGAAAAAAACCAACACAACAUUGGUUGGAAAUAGCAAACUGAAUCAUUAUAAGCUUCCAUUAGUUCUUUGAAAAGCUCCUGAAGGUAGGAGACCAAGUUUGCAUCUUUUAAGUGGUCAGCAAUUUCAGGAAUAAUUAACAGUGAUUGUGAAUAAUUUGUGAUAGUGGUGGUAGCUGGUGUGGGCUAUUUGUGUUAGCAAGGAAAAGGUAAAAUUACCUAAUUUUUGCAAUUUUUUUUUUUUAAUUNNNNNNNNNNNNNNNNNNNNNNNNNNNNNNNNNNNNNNNNNNNNNNNNNNNNNNNNNNNNNNNNNNNNNNNNNNNNNNNNNNNNNNNNNNNNNNNNNNNNGUCCAUAUUAAAUAUAUCUGUUAACUAGUAGAGGAACGUAGGGCCAAAUCAAGAAAUGCUGGAUUUGAAGUAUUUUAGAUUGGUUGCUAGGUGGUUGGUUUAUUCCUUUAUUUGACUGAAGAAGAUUUCAGUUAUCAUCUUGUAGGUUCUGCAUCGACAUGCGAACGUUGGUUUCCUAGAUCUUCCUCUUAUUCUACUUCUAUCUGGGUCCUUUUUACCUUCGAUUUAUAAGAAAUAAUGACCACUUUAUAUUCUCUUAAUAUGUGCAGAUGCUGAAAAGAUGAGAGCUUUAGAGUUAAACUCUUGGCAGUUGUUAAGAUUGUUACAGGCCCAGUUAUCUGGUCUACCCUGUGAACAUGUUUUAGUAGAGGAAAACACUGGAGAUACAAAAUCAGUGGUCACUGAGUGCGGUGGAAACAUAGAGCAGGUCUUCUGUUGCUUAUAUCAGAAUGCUGCCGUCCUCCACAGGUCCUGGAAGUUCAAGAGGAUCUUUGUGUAAUAAUUCUUUAAAGCAUCACAGAUUCAAAUACCUAAUGAAUGUUACAUGAGCAAAAUUAUGAUUCUUUGUUCUCUUGGCACUCACUUUUAAAGGUCAAACAUUGAAGACUACAAGAGCGCUGCCGCAGCAUAUUAUGUGUUCUUGAGGACUGUAAGUCAGUGGUUAGCACGCAGAAUGACUGAUGUAUGUGUCUUUUUGAUCCACUGAAAAUAGAUUGCUUCUUUGUUGGGACAUUGAUUCAAUUUUACUGGUGAACAUGAUGCAUAUAAUACCGUAGAAGAGCACACAAAACCGGAUGUGAUUUAAUCUUUUCCUUUUAUAACUUUAUUUUUUCCAUGCAGUAACAAGUAAGCAUUUUGCAGAAACCUGUCGGCCUGCUUGUUGUUGGAAUUUAGCAAUGAUUCUCUCAUGUUUGAUCUUUCUGGGGCUUGUAUUUCAUUUGAAUGAGGCCUUGUAUGUUAGAGAAGACCAUCAGAUUUCCAGCUUGAAAAAAUAUGCCUUUUCAUGGCAUUUGGAUGAGAUCUUCCUCGUGGGUGCUACAUUGAUUCAUGUCAUAAGCAUGGGAUCCAGUUCUAUGGUAGAGGAGGAGCAAUAUAUUUGGCAUUUUGUGUUGUCGACAUUUUAUCUGUUACUAAUUCGGAAGACUGCACAGACCAUUCUAGCAGAUAGAACUCAAAGUUCAGUUGGGUUGUCCAUGUCUCUGAAUGGAAAGAUCAGCUAUCUAAUUAUAUCCCUCUUUUCUGUACUUGUAUUGGGAAGAAUUUUGAGAGCCUGGCACCAGGGUGGUAUAAACUGGGUAAAUCUUCCUGAUAUUUCUAAAUGGCUAAAACUGGCAGGACAUGAAUAUGUGAAACGACUUUGGCUGCUGGCGUGCCUGUCGGUGAUCAUCUUAAGUAUAUAUGUUCUAACAUUCUUAUGGACAAGAAGGAAAAUGGUUUUAGUGGUCGGAUUCAGCUUUUUUAUCCCAGGAUUGAUGGUUUUGAAAUAUAUAAUUAGUCACGAGGAUGAUACAUCAGGGUCAUUUACAUACAGCUACGGUUCCACUGUAUCAGCACAGAAGAUAUAUAGAGUUCUUGGUGCUCUUACGGUUGUGGCUGUCGUAGCUGUACCAUGGCUAAUACAUAUUUGGACUUCCAAGGCAUGCUCUAAUGGUGAUAUCUGCUUGUCUACUUCUGGUUCCCAUGACAUUCUAAAGUUGCCUCCGCUGAUGGAGAUGAGAGACUCAUUUUAUGUCAUAGGGUGGGCAUACAUAUUUUGUUGGUGUCUCCUUCAACUGUUGCUCCAACAGCCAACAAAUUCGUUGCCUGUGCUUUUGCUGCUUGUGCAGAUCUAUGCCAGCAUGCUUCAUUCUUUCAGUGCUGUGCCUGCUCAUAAGCAUUGGAUUGAGGUCAGUUACAAUGGCAUCUUCUGUGGUUCUGCCCACAUCUCAAUGCAAGCUAGAUUACCUGUUCUCUAGAGUAACUGUUGCAUCUGGUUAAGAAUAUUUUACCAUCAUUAGUGGUUUAAGAAAAAGAUCAAAUCCUUAAGUGACAAGUCAUCAUUCUUGUGCUAUCAAGUUCCUCUUCGGACAUAAUGGCUUGGGGAUGUGAUUCAAAUCUAUUUAAAUUUCUAGAAGCAGGCAUAGCGACACAAAAGCACUCUAAUAAAGAGAAGGGAUUUUUGUAUAAGUUAAUUUCUUUUUGAAAUCCUCUUAGUACUCUCUCUUUCUCCAGAAGCAGGCAUUCUUAUGUAGCAACAAGGAAUUCUUGUUCUUUCUGUGCUAAUAGAUCAUAGCCUUUUCUUUAUCUGAUCCUACUUUGCUGGACCACUCUGGUUCCAUGCCAGAUUUAGCAUGCGCCUGAAGGCAUUUAUGUGCUGGAUGGAUCAUAAACAGAAAAUACAACUUUUCUGCGAUUUCAUGCUCUGCUUGAAUAAAUGAAAAGAUAUUGCCAGAUCAGCUGUUCAUCUAGUCUCAAAUCAGAUGUAAUUAUCAUUCAAUUCUUCAGUUUUUAAAACUUCAAUAUCGAUAAACUUGACUUUUAGCUCUAUCAAAAUGCAUGUGCUUUUUGUCUCAUGAAUCGUAAUAUGCAUCUAGAGGAAAGGAUAAUUAUAUUUUACAAAACCCGAAUAGAUGUUUGGGGUAGCUUUCUUCGAACAGAUGUUAGGGAAGCUUGUGACUGUCCAUUUGAGCGCUUGUGACUGUCCAUUUGAGCACUUGUUGACAGCAAAUGCCAUGUGCAAGGGGUUAGGGAAGCUUGUGACUGUCCUUACUCAUUCCACAUGGCAGUUGGUCAACUGUUGGUUGACUUUCUUAGCGGUAGGAAGAUUUAUCCUGAAAAGCAAGGAGGGUUUUGGGGCAGGUUUUUUUGCUAGUUUCCACUGACGUUUUCUUAAAUUUUUGGCAAUCUUACACAUGGAGUGUCUUUAGCUGCGUCUAGUUUAUAUAUUGAUUCAUUAUGUUGGUCACAAUCUUGUAUUGACAUUGGUGGUUUUGCUGUCUAUGUAGGUCGCUGCACUUUACCAGUUGGGAAUGGCAGGUCAUUUUGCCCUCGGGAACAGCAACUCUCUAGCUACAAUUGAUGUUGCUGGUGCAUUCAUUGUAAGCAUCUCAUAAUCUGGAAUUUUUCUGCGGUUGGGACCUGGAGUACUAUAUCAGCAAAAGAUAGUUGCCUCAGUUUCCCUACUUCUUUACGUCAUGCAGGCGCUUCAGAUUUCUCGAUGCUAUCANNNNNNNNNNNNNNNNNNNNNNNNNNNNNNNNNNNNNNNNNNNNNNNNNNNNNNNNNNNNNNNNNNNNNNNNNNNNNNNNNNNNNNNNNNNNNNNNNNNNUACUUUGUGGAAUGCUAAUUUUGGAGAUCUCCUAAAGAUGAUGCUUGGUUUUCCUUGUGUAAUACCUUUGUGCCUGAAUUCAGUUAUGCUGACUGCAUACACUAUCAUACUGCUACUGAUGAGAAAUCACUUAUUCAUAUGGAGUGUCUUCUCUCCAAAGUAAGUCUUUCCAUACUUUAAAGCGCAUAUGUUAAUCUAUUACCAUGGAAUUUUUAUGAAAAUGUGGUGAUCAUAUAUAGCUAGUGUGGAUAAGACUAUUUCGUUGUAUGUUCCUUGUGGAUAUUUAAACUCUACUUGCAAUCUGGUCUCCGGGAUUAUUCUCAUCAUGCAUGUUGUUGAAGUUUUUGUUUUUCAAAUAUUAAUUGUGAACGAGAUUGUGGAUUCAACAUCUAUUUCAUGUAGCGGUUCCUACAUUUUGUUUCUUAUGUGAGAUAAAUUUGUCUUGUUUUAUUGAUUUUACCCGUAUGGCAAUGCUUUCGCCCUUUACAUGUGCUACUUUCUACCCUUCUUUCAAAGAGUGGUUAUUUUUGCACUUAAGUACAAUAUUGCAACACUUUUUGUUACCUCUACUUAGACAAUUCAUACUAAGUCAAUACUCAUAUUUCAUGAAGGUACCUUUAUGUCGCUGCUGCAACAGUUUGCAUUUAUUUGGGGGUUUUCAUCAUAGCUGCUACCGGAACUUAUAUAUACUUGGUGACGAUUUAUCGGAAAAGAUAAGAUUAGGAGCUUCAACGGCGGCAUGAGGUAGAUCUUCCUGUAGCCUUGCUCACUGAUGCUGACAAUUUUGGUACUUAUUUGCAGAUUUGUUCAAUUCUUUUGGCUUUGAGCCACUGCUCAUAGUACAUUCAAUUGGUAAUCAUUUCGAAAUGUUUCACUUUGCAAUGAUGAGUUGGACAUGUUAACGUGUUUGUCAACUUGAACAGUAAGAGAAUGGGUGAGACAAUUUUCCGGCCAGACUACGUUUGACCUUCUCUGUUUUGUUAUAGGGUUCGGUCUAUUCCAUAUAUAGAAAUUUUACUUGUGGUUUUGAAAAAUUUGAGUUUGUUCAAUCUGAGUCAUCCCACUUGCGAGAUUUGUGUGAUCGAGUCCUUAUGUCAUAAGCAUAUUUAAUAUUGUUGAUGUGGUUGAUGACAUGACAACUUCUUGGCAUUGUAAAAGAGAACAGUACAAUAUUCGCUUAAUGAAAACCAAACUCACUCUGCAAAAAGAGGAGAAAAGAUGAAGGCGAUGGGGGCGAGAUUAAGACACUCCAUCACCACCACACAACUGCUGUCGGCCGUUUGCCGUCACCACCGCCAGUUUCUCUUUCAAAAACCCUAACCUCUCUCACAAAGCUUAAUGUUGUUUCUAUGCGAGACUCCUCUUUAUUGGGGUUCUCCGGCAACUCUAAGCAAUGGCUAGACCAGCUGUCUGUUUUGGCGAGCCUCAGUUCAGGCCUGCCUAUAUUGCCUGUGGUUAAAAUGACGAUCAAGGCAACUGUAGCUUCUUGGAAUCCAAGGUAUUUGAG